AUUGAACGCUGGCGGCAGGCUUAACACAUGCAAGUCGAGCGGGGUGAUGGUGCUUGCACUAUCACUUAGCGGCGGACGGGUGAGUAAUGCUUAGGAAUCUGCCUAUUAGUGGGGGACAACAUCUCGAAAGGGAUGCUAAUACCGCAUACGUCCUACGGGAGAAAGCAGGGGAUCACUUGUGACCUUGCGCUAAUAGAUGAGCCUCAGUCGGAUUAGCUGGUUGGUGGGGUAAAGGCCUACCAAGGCGACGAUCUGUAGCGGGUCGGAGAGGAUGAUCCGCCACACUGGGACUGAGACACGGCCCAGACUCCUACGGGAGGCAGCAGUGGGGAAUAUUGGACAAUGGGGGGAACCCUGAUCCAGCCAUGCCGCGUGUGUGAAGAAGGCCUUAUGGUUGUAAAGCACUUUAAGCGAGGAGGAGGCUCUUUUGGUUAAUACCCAAGAUGAGUGGACGUUACUCGCAGAAUAAGCACCGGCUAACUCUGUGCAGCCGCCGCCGUAA
rnacentral:rRNA from 1 species